rnacentral:rRNA from 1 species
CCAGACUCCUACGGGAGGCAGCAGUGGGGAAUAUUGCACAAUGGGCGGAAGCCUGAUGCAGCAACGCCGCGUGCGGGAUGACGGCCUUCGGGUUGUAAACCGCUUUCGCCUGUGACGAAGCGUGAGUGACGGUAAUGGGUAAAGAAGCACCGGCUAACUACGUGCCAGCAGCCGCGGUGAUACGUAGGGUGCGAGCGUUGUCCGGAUUUAUUGGGCGUAAAGGGCUCGUAGGUGGUUGAUCGCGUCGGAAGUGUAAUCUUGGGGCUUAACCCUGAGCGUGCUUUCGAUACGGGUUGACUUGAGGAAGGUAGGGGAGAAUGGAAUUCCUGGUGGAGCGGUGGAAUGCGCAGAUAUCAGGAGGAACACCAGUGGCGAAGGCGGUUCUCUGGGCCUUUCCUGACGCUGAGGAGCGAAAGCGUGGGGAGCGAACAGGCUUAGAUACCCUGGUAGUCCACGCUGUAAACGGUGGGUACUAGGUGUGGGGUCCAUUCCACGGGUUCCGUGCCGUAGCUAACGCUUUAAGUACCCCGCCUGGGGAGUACGGCCGCAAGGCUAAAACUCAAAGGAAUUGACGGGGGCCCGCACAAGA